AUGAUUCUCCAAGGAAACAGAAACUCCAGCAGUAACUGCUGCUCUACCAUCGGGAGGAGAGGGGGUUCCAGUAAGAAGAAAGUCACUACAGUGGUCCUGAAAAAGCCGCAGGUGGAGACGCGGCCCCGAGACAUCCACAGGCGGAAACGGAGGUCAUCAAUCCUCCUCCGGGUCAUCCACGAGAUGCGCGAGGACUCUGCGUCUCUUAUCGCGAGAACUGGCGGUGAACUUGCGGACCAGGGGCAAGCUGUGGGGGAUGGACAGUAUCCUUCUCCAGAUGAAAACGCAGGUGGAGGCCUCGGAGGAGAGCGCCCUCAACCACUUAAAGCACCCGAGUGGCAAAGCCGACGAAAGAGUGUCGGAGUUGUGCGAGAAGGCCAAGGAGAUCCUGAAGAUGGCGAAAAUGCGGCGAGCUCGUCUGGCGAACACAGAGAAGCGAGUCUUCCUGAAGGAGGAGAUGAGGUAAGGUUGGAAACUAGCUUGGAUGGAACUCAGUAGUCGCCCAAAGCAUGGUUAAGCCGCACCCUGUGAAAAGUUAUAUUCUUAGGCCCUCAUUCUCCAUUUUAUUGCAUCAAAAAUUGAGCAUUUGGAACAAAGUUGGGGUAGAGGAAAGAAUGCGUGCUGAUUUUUAUAGGUGUUAGUAUACCGGCUUUUUUUUUUUGCGUCUCCCCCCACACUGGUAAUUAGAGAAAAAUAAAAGUAACUCUUCGGGUUUGUUUUUGUGAGACAUAAAAGUUAAUUCUAACAGGGCAUUCGCCAAAAGUAGACCUGUCUAGGCACUAAGGGAGUUUGGGGAAAGCCAAAGGAAACCUAGGCCGUAGAGCAAAAUGGAACACAGGGUGAGAAGACAGGGAAAGAGAAAUAAAGAAUAAAGCCAGAGGCCAUUACCUUAAAUUUCCAUAUUGUUCUAUGAGGCAGGUGUGUCAGAGGACCAUGACUCAAAGAAAUGGCGUUCUUCUGGGUGAAUAACAUUUAUUUUUAACACCAGGAUAUGAAACUUUGAGAGUCAAUGUCUUGUAAAUUUCUCCCAGCUGUGCUUUAGGUUCCCAGCUGAGGAUUGUAGUCAACUGGUAAGGAUGGACUGACACCUUGAGGAAACUGAAACAGCUUGUCAUUUUCUCUGUUUUUGUAUGGUUUUUACCCCCAGGUUACAGUCUGCCUUAUGGUCAGUGAUUGAUGACCUCGAUAUGGGUUUAGACCAUCAAAUAUGUUUGGUUCUGGAAAGAUAACUUUUGUAGGAGAAAUACUUUAAUAAGAGAAGUGGGGCUUAAUCAAAAGUCGUUUUCAUCAUCACAUUUAUUCUUGUUACUUUGCUGAGGUUUUGAAAUGUUAGGCAUGGCGGUUUUUUUGCUGUUGACUUUGUGACCUGAUUGUUUCUUGGUACAUGUCAAGACUUGGGAUCAGAUUCUUCCAACUUUAGAGGCGCAGUGGAAGGCACUAGGCAACACCUUGUGAAGAAUGUAUUAAUGAGACUGCUUUGCAUAAAGCUGGGAAGAACAAGAAAAUAGUUGGGAGAUGGAAGAUGGUUUUGUAUACAUUUUGGAACUUUAGUUCCUCUGUGAAAAGAGGAGACCUAUGUUUUGUGGCACACUGUCUGAUACAUGUUGUGUAACUUAUCAGAUGAGUUGAUUUAGACAACUGACCUUAUAUGACAAAGCAGUUUGAAAGGGACUAUUGUAGAACCCUCACAUGUUACAGGGGCAUCAGACAAUGGCAUCAAAGGGACAAUCUACAGAGGCUGGAGUAAAGAAAAGAUAUUAUCAGGGCCUGAAAAGUCUCUUCCAGUUCAUCAGGGUAGUAGACCUGUCAGAUUGGAGGUCAAAGUUAAGCAUAUAUUAAGUGUUAAUUUGCCUUGAAAAACAAAGACCUAAAAAACCUUUUUUAAGAAAUAAAUUUUUCAUUCACAUAAAAAAAAAA